rnacentral:tRNA from 1 species
GGCCCGUUCGUCUAUCAGCUAGGACAUCGCCCUCUCACGGCGAAAAGACGGGUGCGAUUCCCGUACGGGCUACCA